ACGGGAGGCAGCAGUGGGGAAUAUUGCACAAUGGGCGCAAGCCUGAUGCAGCGAUGCCGCGUGAGGGAAGAAGGUUUUCGGAUUGUAAACCUCUGUCAACAGGGACGAAAAUGACGGUACCUGUGAAGGAAGCUCCGGCUAACUACGUGCCAGCAGCCGCGGUAAUACGUAGGUGGCAAGCGUUGUCCGGAAUUACUGGGUGUAAAGGGAGCGCAGGCGGGACAGCAAGUUGGAUGUGAAAUACCGAGGCUUAACCACGGAGCUGCAUCCAAAACUGUUGUUCUUGAGUGAAGUAGAGGUAGGCGGAAUUCCGAGUGUAGCGGUGAAAUGCGUAGAUAUUCGGAGGAACACCAGUGGCGAAGGCGGCCUACUGGGCUUUAACUGACGCUGAGGCUCGAAAGUGUGGGGAGCAAACAGGAUUAGAUACCCUGGUA
rnacentral:rRNA from 1 species